GCAUAACGUCCUCAAUAUCCAUCCAGGUUGUAGAAUGUUUCAGAAUUUCCUUCCUUUUUAUUGCUAAAAAAAUAUCCCAUUGUAUGUGUCUACCACAUCUUGUUUCUCCAUUCAUCCGUUGAUAGAUACUUGGGUUGCUUCCACUUUUUGACUUUUUGGCUUAUUUUUGCGAUAAGGAAUAUUUUUGUGAUUGGAGGACAACAUAUAUUUGAAAGGAAAGUAAACGGAACAGGGAUUAUAGGCCACUUCAUGGUCUUCGUGUCUUUAUUCUAGGCAGCUGCACAGUCUUGGGAGAAAGUCUUUCCUAGCACCUCGUUAGACUUUGUGACCCUCUGGGCAUUGUGUUACCCUCCUUAUGUUGUCUCCCACUCUUCUGCGCUAUCUAACUAAAUAUGAAUCACCAGGCUAAUUUGGGACAAUUCAGCUGAGAACAGAGCAAAGAGUUACAUGGACGCAUCAAACACAGACACUUUUCAGAGGUACCGUUUCUCUCUAGUUGAGGUUUUAUGUAACACUACAUGUUUCUCAAGUGUUGUGUGAUCAGUUUGAUCAGGCAAGCAUCUUAAAAGUCCUCUGAGGACUAGCAUUUUAAUCAGUCAAUGCCCUGCAUAGGUCAAUGAAAUCUCUGAUCCAACAGGAGAUAAGGGGAGAGGGUUAUUCCUGGCCUGGGGGCAGAGAGAGAAGAGGCGUGGGAGGGUCGUCUCAGCUCUUUUUAGGGAAAUUGAUGGCCUCAAAGCAAAAUUUUCUCCAGGACGAGAAAAAGGGAAAAAGCAGCAUUUAGGCCCAUGACUAGGCAUUCCUAAUCUACUUCUUGGCUAUGUCUAAAGUUCAGUAAAGAAUACUUUGCCACUUUAAAACACUUCUAGUGAGCAUCUUUCGUCAUUGCCAGGGGAAGCAAAUAAAAAUCAGGUGCAUCAGGAGCCUGGCAGCCAGUGCCCAGGCAUUGUGGUCAGCCAACCGAGAAGACUCGCUCCAAGUUUCCAGGAGGGGUUCAACCCAGCAGGAUUUGGAAGAUCUCCGGUUCAUUCAGCUGCACUUCUUGUCAUGGGAUAUGGCAGCGCGUCUCAAACUUGCCUGGGAACCGGACGCAGAGAAGCCAGGAGCCGGAGCCCAGAUUUGGGCACAACUUCUCCCUAGGGGUCUGCUUGUUCAGACGAGGCGUCGAGGCAACUGUCUGCACAGUCGUCAUCGUAACUAGAAAGUAGCGGGGGUACUGGAACAGCUUCGUUGCUUUAGAAUAGGCCGUCUCGCCGUUCAUCAUAUUUGAGACUUCUGUGAAACUACAUCGUGUGGAAGUUGGUGGCCUUUUGAGAAAAAUAGCUUUAAAACAAAAACCAAAUCACCCCACUGGAAGCCGGCCCCGGGACCUUGGACUACUCAUUCAGUGUCGCUGGUGUCGGAGCCUCGAAGGUGGAGCACACACUCCAGGAGUCCUUGCAAAGAUGCCACCAGGGAGCUGGAGGAAACGUUAGAACCUUUAUUUACGUGUUUUCCCUCUAAAAUGUAAGGAAAACUAUUAAGCUAUACUAACAUUUGAUAUAUGAAUCAAGAGGGUGAAGUAUAUAAUUUAUAAACAUGUACAUUUUGGGAGUGCAUGCUCAAAAAUGUUUGCUCCUCAUGGCACAUGACCAGAAAAGUGGAGAUUACUGAUCUACCCCCCAGAGAGGAGACUAGAUUUAGUGUUUUUUUCAAACUGGUGAUGGCAACCUAUUCUUGGUUUGUGCAAUCUAUUUAGUAGAUCUUUAAAGAGUGAAAUAAAAUAAAAAAUUUCCGUGUGU
ensembl:lncRNA